rnacentral:lncRNA from 1 species
GCUACUGCAGAUAAUACCAAAAUAAACUAGAGAUAACAAACGACACUCCUACAGACAUGUCUAUUCCGGGGACGGGGAGGUUCAGGAAGAAGCUACGGCGCCACAGCAACCAGCAGGUACCCCAUUAACCUGAACUGCCUUCUUGGAGGUGGCGCUCCCUUGAAGCUGCUGCGCUUUGGCACACGCGACUUGCUGAUUCACCUAAACUUUGGCUUCUUGGAGGGCGGCGCUCCCUUGAAGCUGCUGCGUUCAGGUGCACGUGACUUGCUGAAGGUCUUCGCCUUGCGGCGCCUCCUCUCUUCCUCACUGUCCGACUCUGCACCGUGCUCACGGUCCGCAUUGCUUGCCUCGCGCUCCAGCUCCUCCCAGG